rnacentral:rRNA from 1 species
ACUCCUACGGGAGGCAGCAGUGGGGAAUAUUGCACAAUGGGCGCAAGCCUGAUGCAGCCAUGCCGCGUGUAUGAAGAAGGCCUUCGGGUUGUAAAGUACUUUCAGCAGUGAGGAAGGCGGAGUCGUUAAUAGCGGCCUCGUUUGACGUUAGCUGCAGAAGAAGCACCGGCUAACUCCGUGCCAGCAGCCGCGGUAAUACGGAGGGUGCGAGCGUUAAUCGGAAUUACUGGGCGUAAAGCGCAUGCAGGUGGUUUGUUAAGUCAGAUGUGAAAGCCCGGGGCUCAACCUCGGAAUUGCAUUUGAAACUGGCAGACUAGAGUACUGUAGAGGGGGGUAGAAUUUCAGGUGUAGCGGUGAAAUGCGUAGAGAUCUGAAGGAAUACCAGUGGCGAAGGCGGCCCCCUGGACAAAGACUGACGCUCAGAUGCGAAAGCGUGGGGAGCAAACAGGAUUAGAUACCCUGGUAGCACAGAG